GUGGGGAAUAUUGGACAAUGGGCGAAAGCCUGAUCCAGCCAUGCCGCGUGUGUGAAGAAGGUCUUCGGAUUGUAAAGCACUUUAAGUUGGGAGGAAGGGCAGUAAGUUAAUACCUUGCUGUUUUGACGUUACCGACAGAAUAAGCACCGGCUAACUUCGUGUCAGCAGCCGCGGUAAUACGAAGGGUGCAAGCGUUAAUCGGAAUUACUGGGCGUAAAGCGCGCGUAGGUGGUUUUGUAAGUUGGAGGUGAAAUCCCCGGGCUCAACCUGGGAACUGCCUCCAAAACUGCAUGACUAGAGUACGGUAGAGGGUAGUGGAAUUUCCUGUGUAGCGGUGAAAUGCGUAGAUAUAGGAAGGAACACCAGUGGCGAAGGCGACUACCUGGACUGAUACUGACACUGAGGUGCGAAAGCGUGGGGAGCAAACAGGAUUAGAAACCCCGGUAGUCC
rnacentral:rRNA from 1 species